rnacentral:lncRNA from 1 species
CAGAUGUGGAAGCAGAAGUGGCAGAAGAAAGGGGAGCAUUUUGUAGGUGGUCGGCCCAGAGCCACGCUCAAGAAUUCUUGCUUCCGGUGUGGGCAGCUAGGCCACUGGUCAUCCCAGUGCCCCCAACCAGGUGAGACCUCUGCUCUGGUGGUGGGCCGGGCUGAGGUUUUUGGAGAGGACUUGUACUCUUGGCGGGGGAGCACCUGUAGCUCAAGUAAAAGAUUCUAUCUGCUUCUUCUACCUAACCUAGAGCAUACCCCAGCCCCCCAGAAGAAAGGUGGUGAGAAUGAAGACGACACACAGACCCUGCUCACUUUGGAGGAAGUAGUCCAGAGGACAGGCAGUGCCAGCUGCCGACUCCCUGGUGAAUGAAGGGGUGGAGGGCAGGUUGUAGCUAGGUGUGUUUUUGCUAGAAUGACCCCAGCCCAGCCUGGAGUUCCCACACCACCCUUUUCCAUCUGUUUCUAGUGAGUGAGAAAGAUCCGGAGCCUGCUGGGCCUGAGCUGUUGGUCACCGUGGAACAGCCUGGGCCCCGGGUGCCCUGCCUGCCCCCUACCGUGCCACCACUUUACCCACCAGGGCCCUCUGGGCAAGUGGCAGGUGAGCAGAUGCUUUUCAGCUGAGAGCCUUUACUGGGGGAUGGGGGCAACUUGAGGCCAUGCUGACCAACACCUGUGUCCCCAGAGACGCCAGCUGAGGUAUUCCAGGCCCUGGAGCAGCUAGGGCACCGUGCCUUCCGCCCCGGACAGGAGCGUGCGGUCAUGCGGAUCCUCUCUGGUGAGCUUGGCUGUUGGGGGAUGGGACAGGGCCAAGGCCCGGCCACAGGAUAGCACACUGACCCUUGUUCCCACCAGGCAUAUCCACGCUGCUGGUGUCGCCCACCGGUGCUGGCAAGUCCUUGUGCUACCAGCUCCCCGCGCUGCUUUAUGCCCGGCGGAGCCCCUGCCUCACACUGGUCAUCUCUCCCCUCCUGUCUCUCAUGGACGACCAGGUGCGCAGACGGGACCCCUCCAGCACAUGCAGAAGGCAGGAACCAGUGCCCACGGCUCUUCCGACCCUUUGGGGCUGCUGUCAGUUACUUGGCCGGAGCUGUAGAGAGCUCAGCUAUUCUCAGCCUGCCAGCUCUGUCCACAGUCCCCGGCCUGGCAAUGGUCCAAGGGCAGCAGGGACACAGCUGGCCAGACCUGAGUCCACCCCCAAGAGGAGCAGCUCUAGGGAGGGAGGACGUCCCCAGUGGGGCCUGUCUGCUCUUGGCACUCCUGAACCAAGGCUCACAGGGGGCUCUGAAUCCUUAGUCACAGGAUCUACGAGCUGGGACUUUUCUCCCUAGGGAGCCCAGGUUGAAGAUGGCAACAGCUGUCAGGCCAAGCACCACUGAGCGCUGUUUGAGGAAGAGCAGGGGAAGGGUGGCUUGCAACUGGUUGUCCUUUUGUACCCACAGGUGUCUGGCCUGCCCCCAUGCCUGAAGGCAGCCUGCAUCCAUUCAGGCAUGACCAGGAAGGAGCGGGACUCUGCCCUGAAAAAGGUGAGGGAGGGGCCUUACACAGCAAGAUGGGUAGGGACAGAAGGCAGGCCCUCGAUGAUGCUCCUGACCUUGCCGUCCUCAGGUUCAGGCGGCCCAGGUGCACGUUCUGAUGCUGUCACCCGAGGCACUGGUUGGGGCUGCGGCAGGGACCCCUGGCUCCCUCCCUCAGCUGCCUCCCGUUGCCUUUGCCUGUGUCGACGAGGCCCACUGCCUGUCCCAAUGGUCCCACAACUUCCGGCCCUGCUACCUGCGUGUCUGCAAGGUGA